rnacentral:rRNA from 1 species
UACGUAGGGGGCUAGCGUUGUCCGGAAUCAUUGGGCGUAAAGAGCGCGUAGGCGGCCAGAUAAGUCCGGUGUGAAAGUCACAGGCUCAACCUGUGAAUGCCGCUGGAAACUGUCUGGCUAGAGUCCGGAAGGGGCGAGUGGAAUUCCUGGUGUAGCGGUGAAAUGCGCAGAUAUCAGGAGGAACACCAAUAGCGAAGGCAGCUCGCUGGGACGAUACUGACGCUAAGGCGCGAAAGCGUGGGUAGCAAACAGG